UUAAGAAUCGGAGAGACUACACCUUUUAUUUUGAAUGUCGAAAUCUUUAUACGUAAAUGAGUCAUAGCCGUACGAUCACAGGACGUGUGUAUCAUGGUCGUUGGAGAAGAGGCAUAGAAAAACCCUAAAUGAGAAUAAAGUACGGCAACUGAACGAUCAGUGAUCUGACUCGUACGAGCGGUAGAGCGGUGAUAGACUGGAAGUGGAAGUAGAAUUUGGCGACGAUGACGAUGAAUGAGUCGGCAAAUAAAUGCGAGAAACGCACGAAUUAAAUUACAUAUGAAAGGGGGAAGAGGAGGAGGUGAGAGUGGGAGGAGAGAGAGGAAGGGGAGGGGGAUUCAGGUUAUCUUACUGAGAGAUUGUUUGGGCCAAAACUCGACUUGAAGUAUUUAUCUUGAAUAGAUAUACAGUGUGUUUUUUUUUUUAAGAAAACAAACUGAAUAGAUAAAGUUGUGACUUGUGAGAGUGUGACCCCAUGUGUGGCUUUAUAUCCGCUCCCUAUCCGCACACAGAACUCAUACUCACCACGAUCUAUGGAGGUCGGGAUGUCCACCACCGGGUCAUUUUCUCUGGGUAAAAACCCGUUUCUGGGUCCGAAACCCUUUACACCAUCUCUUAGUAUAUUCAAUUCAGUUAUUUUUAAAUUGCAACAGAGAAGCUGCACGUGUUUUAUAAUGGAGGGUGGCAAAUCGGAUCCUCCAGCUGACAACCCGGCAAAACUCGAAGUGUUACUGGUUGAGAAGGAGACAAGGGAGAGGCUUACUUAUGUUGUCGCGGCAGUUAUGUCUAGUCUUGGAAUUAUUUCUUUGACUGUCUUGGCUGUUUAUUACAAAUUCUCUUACCAAAUGGAGGAGGGUGGAGAAAUUCCUUACCUGGAGAUGUUGGGUACUUUUGCGCUCUCUCUUGGUGCUGCUAUGAGCAUGGAGCUUAUGUCAAAGUGGGUGCACAAAGCCUUGUGGCAUACUUCAUUGUGGCAUAUGCACAAGUCACACCAUAAACCAAGAGAAGGGGUGUUUGAGCUGAACGAUGUAUUUGCAGUAAUGAAUGCAAUUCCAGCAAUUGUUUUGCUGGCCUAUGGUGUCUUCUACAAAGGCCUUUUGCCUGGUAUCUGUUUUGGUGCGGGCCUGGGAUUCACGGUAUUGGGAAUUGGUUACAUAUUUGUCCAUAACGGCCUUGUCCAUAAACGUUUUCCAGUAGGUCCCAUUGUUGAUAUCCCUUACUUCAGAAAAGUUGCUGCUGCUCACCAGGAUGCGGCGGAGAUGAGAACCAAACUCACCUAGCACUAGGAACACCCUUGCCACCGCUCACCACUCCUUGAUUCUCAACCUCCGGUCUUUCAUUGUACGAUAACAAUUAGAAGAUGUGCCAAAUCCAUAAUCUUCCGAGCGGUAGUAAAAGACUUUGUCUAAAUGCAGAUACACAAUUCAUUAUUGCGCUGCUUGGGUGAACUUGUGUGGUCAAAAUAAGGACUUAUUAUAAGUAAAAAACAUUUUUUUGACUUCUUUUGCACUUGAUUGCCUAAAAAGCCAUUGUGAGAAUGAUUUUAGUGCUGCAGCUGCACCACAUGGGAAUGUUCAAAGGAGUCCCCUAUGGGCUGUUUUUGGGUCCUAAGGUAUAUUCAUGCACGUGGUCCUUCCUUUUGCUCUUCUAGCUUCUUCUUUUAUGCUUUUUACACAUGAGGUUAUGGUUAUAUUUACUUGAUUAGUGUGUGUGUAUUGGCACUGAAGUUCAUAUUACCUGUAAGAUAUAUCAGAUUCAAUAGGAAAAAACUGAUUGUCUUUGGUUUUUAAUCGUACUAGACACAAAUAUAUCCUAUGUUUCUUUCUUGUUUUUGUGA